UUUUUUUUUUUUUUUUUUUUUUUUUGGUGGAAUAUCAGAAGGAUACUAAAAGGCUUGCCGUGAAGCAAGGUAGUGCAUAGGACUGAUGGUAGAAGCUUCCUUCAAAGCCACUCCGAAGAGGAAAUAUCAUCACACAGUUUGGAAGGAAAUCUUGGAGGAAACCCAAACGAAACACUGCAAAAUAUUCUUCAAUCUAGAUACUCCUAGUCAAACUGCAUGUUUUCUGGAGAUCCGUGAACCAUUAGAUCAUUGUCAUCACAGGACAAGGAUGGGUGAUCACCUCGUUCUCUCCUCUGUUCAGCUCCUCCAGAAGAACUACAUCUCAGUCUAUUUCAAUGCCAACCAAAUAGGAAUGAGCUCCUGCAUCCCUUCUGCAUUUGGCUGGUUUCUCCUGCAGCUGCUGGCCUGUUUAACACUGUGGUUCAAUGCAGUGGGAGAACCAUUGCUGCAGAGCCUUGAGGAAACUGGAAAACCUUGGAUCUGGUAUACCACAGAGGCAGAAGCCAGGUCUGUGUUCAUCUCACCUGAAUGGUGCUCACUAGCAAGUGGAGGAUUGGCAUCAUGCAAUGAAGAAUCAGUCCUCAUCCAUCUUUCACCAUCCUCCAAGCUACAGCCUUGGUUUACUUUGCACCUGGAUAGAUGAGGGGGUAAAGACAGGGUGUGUAAAUUGAUUAUGGAACAAGUGUAUUUGGUUUUAUUCAUGCCUCUUGCUAGCAAACCUGAACCUCUUCAGAGCAAUGGCUCAUAAGCGUGUGUAAAGAAGGAAGUGGUGAAAGCAGGGGUCUGAUAGCAAGCAGAUUUCAUUCAGCCAAACAUACACACGUAAGCAAGUCUUUCUAAAAACAUUUAAAGAACAGCAGUCCAAAACUGGGUGCAUGUGUGGGGGGAGAAUAUCACAAGAUUCAUAUUGAAACAGCAAACUUAGGGACACGUCUUGGUUUUAAAACCCCAGACAUUUUUCUCUUUAUUAUUAUUAUUAUUUUGUGCGUGUGUGUGUGUGUGUGUGUAUCUGUGUGUGCGUGUGCGUUAUUUCCUUUUUAAUUUUGCUUGCUUUCUGUUUGAUUGCUGAGCUGAUGGACUCAUCAUGCACCUUAUGGACAUCUCAGCAUUUUCAAGAGGCCUGCGCAAUGGGGAUGAUUUGGUUUGGUUGGGUUGGCUCUGCCAUGGUUUUGUUGAUCCAUUUUGUAAUGUUGGGGCAUGUUCCAGAUCCAUUGAUUAUGGCUGUGAAAGUGGGGUAAAUGUCCCACCAGAGCCAGUGGUAAGAAAACUGCAACAGCAACACAAACACAAUAUUUUUUAUAAGUACAUAAAAAGGAAAAUAAAAAAAUAAAAAAAUAAAAAAAAUAAAAAAGGAAGAAACCAAAGGUUUUGACAAACAAAGUGCCACGAAAGAUAAAUAUGGACCCUAUUGUCAUGCCUUGUACUCACAGCUGGAAGGUAGGAGUCUAAGGACAAAUAGCUGGCUUGGAGGGAAGUGGUUAUGAGUGAUGGGCUGUACUGCCUGGACAUGCGCACACAAAAGGAAAAAGAAGCUGUUAAAAAAAAGAAAGAAAAAGAAAAAAGAAAUCAAAGUGAACUGGUGUAAUCCUGCACUGUUACUGAAGUCAGAGAACACCACAGGGGAAAUCUGAGACUCACCUUGCUUCUUUUUGAUGUUUUCAGGGCUGUGUUUUUGUUUUAUUAUGGUUGUUUUCCACUGUUGCUGGUUUAUUUCUUCUUGCUGGUACAGAGUUUUUCAGCUGUAAAAAAAAUAUAUACAUAUAUUUCAAGAAAAACUUAAACACCUCAGAGACACUGAGAAUGAUACACUUAGGGGAAGUGGGAAGUGCCAUGAGAUUGGUAUUUAAUCCCUCCCGAGUUCCCAUUUAGGCAUUUCCUUUUUGUUCUCAACUCUCUUCUCUCUCCUACCCCAGGAUUUGAAAGAAGAUUUUGUAUUUUGAUUCUCUUUCAUCUCCUCCUCCUUUUUGUUUUCCUUCUUCAUUUACUUUUUUAACUUUGGUGCUUAAGCUGGUUUUGGUUUUCACUUGGAAAAAUGGUCCAGAAUUGUGGUGUAAAUGUGUGGGCUUUGUCCUCUGUCCAAUUUGGUGUCCUCCUCCUUUCCAUCCACUGUUCCAGCAUCUACUACAGUCUAUGAGAGGUCUCGGCAUCUUUCUUCCCAUCCUCUCCUAUUGAGCUAAUUAUUUUUCUAAAUGCAUGUAAAAUACAAUUAAAAACAAAGACACAAGCAGAAGAAUGAGCCCUACUAUGACAUGGAUGGGUUCUUUUUCUCUUCCUUUGCCUUGUUACCCCAUAACUCCUCACCUUACCACAAGUUUCAUCAAAAGUGUGCUGUGUGAGUUGUAUUUCACACUAGUUUUCAAGCCCCACAGUAAGAACAGGAGUCAAAACUCCCAGAAGUCAACAGACAGGUUCCUGGUAUCCAAAACAUACCAGAUAAUAGGCUGACAUUUAAUUUUUUUUCUCAAACACUGCAAUGAACACAAUGAAUGUUGGCACUUUCAGUACCAUCAGAAAUAUGGAAAGAGAAUGUGUGAAGACUCCUUGUGGUCCUACUCAAAGAGCAGAGUUUUUUCCACUGCAGAAUUUGCUCGGGAAUUCAUGGCUAGGUUUGAGGAACCACUCUGCAAUAUACCAUGUCCUCUUUGUGAGUGCAUUCACCAUCAGUGCCACAGUGAGCUGAGGCACAAUCCAUCAUGUCACGUCCUUUUGCAGACUGAGACAUCCGGUAAAUGGAGUUGUGUGAAAAGUUAUCUGGAAGAAGGUGUUAGAGAUUGGUAGCACUUGAACAAACAGCACGUGAGAACUAGGAAAAAGGAGAAAUGUGGGGCAUCUUCAUCUCCUAACACACAUCAGUCCUUCUCUUCCCAAGCUUCACUCUGAUCUGAAUAUAUUUGAAGAUUUGGUCCAGCAUGACAUACACCAGCCUUGCUCCAUUGGGCUUAAGCCAAUUUUCUCCAUCUUAGCCACUGCAGUUGUCUUGCCAUACCACUCAACACUAGACAACAUAAAAAGCAGUUUCAACAUGAAGAGAAUUUACCAGCAGAAUUCAGAUUGGUAUUUGUUUUAAUUGAAAUGCUUACUGAAGUUUCCAGAUCUUGUGCAUUACAGGGAAAAAGACAAGGGAAUCAUAUUAUUGUUUUUAUUAUUUAUAAUUAUGCUAUUGAAAAACUGAUUGAUAAAGUUAUAGGAAUCCACGGCUGCUCUCACUGUUGAGUAAUCCAACCCAAACAGUACAUGGAAUUACAGAAUGGUUUGGGUUGGAAGGGACCUUUCAGGUCAUCUAGUUCCAGCCCCACCUUCUAUGGGCAGCGACACCUCCCACUUAGACCAGGUUGCUCACAGUCCCAUUCAGCUUCCAGGGAGGGGACAUUCACAACCUCACUGGGCAAUAUUAGCUAAAUGCUGGGAUACCUAUGGUGUAGCAACCUAAGAAAAAGCAGAUAAUGCCAAGAGCAAAAUUGUUUUAAAGUAAGCCACAACACAAAAUGCAGACCUGUAUUUUCACGUGGAAUAUGAAGAGCUUUGAGAAGAAAUACCACUGUGUGGAAUGCUCAUCCAAAGGAAGUCUAAAAACCUGAAAGGACUGAGUUCCAGGGCUUCUCUUAGUGGGACAUACAAUUGUGUCUGCACAAAGGACCCUUGAGUCCAACGACUAUCACAUAAACAAAGAAAAGCCUGGACUGCUGGAGAUGACCAGAACUCUUCUCUCACAUCACCAAGGCAUCAGUAAUACAAGUCAUGCUUCACCCUUCCCAGUAGUCAGAAAAAGCUCAUGAAGCAGACGUAUCUGAUAGCCUGGAUAAGUAGCUUCAUGCUGUAAAGGGAAUGACAAAGAGGAAGAAAACUGGUCCCACUUCUAAAACUCCUGGGGCAGGCUCUAGCAUGUAAGAGGUUUGUUCCAUCAUAGCAAUGUAUUGUUCUCUGGGUGAGCAGUGGCCAUUGCUAAUAGAGGAAGAUGCCAUGACCAGAUAAGCACCUACCUGUAACCUCAUCAGUCAUUGAUAGUCCUUUCUUCUUCUUGGUUCAGCCUGCAGCUGAAGUUGCUGGAUAGAGGUUCUCUGUUUAAAAAUGUGCACGUUGGCCCCACUAGGUUUCUUUUGAUUUUUGGUGACUCACCAGAAACUACACUCAGGAGACCCAGUUUAUUUAUCUUCCACCCUUGAAUGAGGAAAUCAGUACAAAAAUCCAGCUCUUGAAUAACUGCUGUUGUCUAAAUGCCUGUAAGCCCCUGGUAACCUCCUCUCUUGGGUUGACUAGGGAGCCCAGGAAUGGAUUUGAUUAUUUACACAGCAAACUGUGUUUCUUUGUUGGCACAGGCCUUACCAUGACAGCUGUUGGGUAAAGAGGUACUGGCAUAACCUCAGUGAUUCCAGGGCAAUUUGGUCUGUGUUAUCUGAUGAGAUAAAUAUUGUCCUCUGGGGCAGAUGGAGAUCUUGGACUGCCCUAGCUCUUGCCAUCCAAGUUUGGUUUGCUGUGGAGCAGACAACUGAAAAUCAAGUGAUGCUCCACGUCAUGGUGUGAACCUCAGCCUCCUGGCCAUUCACAGCUUGAGUUUUCUUGCUUUGCAUCCAGCUUUGUCUCCAUUUCAGAGUAUAGUUGAGUCCGUAGUGUUCUGCAAUUGUCCCUCAUGUCUGCCACUGUGCAACGUACCUUCCCCUCUGAGCGUUGUUUUGUCCUAUGGAGGAUAAGUGUUAUGCAGAGAAUGCUUUGAAAACAGAGCUGGUCAACCACGAUUGAUUUGGGACUUCUCAGUUCUCUGCACUGUUAGAGAAGCACCCAAGGACACAGUGGCUUAUGGCAAUUAAUUAAUAUGCAAAAGAAUGACAAAAGAAAAAAAAAAAGGAUUACAGUUGGAAAGAAUAAAGCCACUACCAAAAACAAACAAACAAACAAACAAACAACAACAAACCACAGAGGAUAUAAAGCUGCUUAGUCCAACCAAUCUGUUACAUGCGUGAUUUCUGUUGUCAUUGUCAUUGUUUGUUCCUUUUUUGUUUGUUAAUCUUCUGUUUUAAAAGUGGAGAGUUUACCUCAAGAAUUUCUUUCUGCUUGGAACCAGAUCACCUCAAAGACACCUGCAGCAAAGAGAAGCAUGCAGGGAAGCUCAGCAAAGUCAACCUGCUUAUGGAAAAUGGGGGGAGCAGGACAUUUAGGCUCUUUCAACAUCCCCUUCUCUUGCUGGCGUGGUUUGAAUCUGUGAGGGCAGUAUUUCUGAGCAGGAGAGGAUGCUGUUCACUUUCAAGCAGACUGGAACACAAGAGCCAGAGAAACCAAGGCACACGUCUGAGCUUGACAUCCUGUCUUAAAUAUCUUAAAGAAACUUGGUGUUACUUAAAAUUUCUUCACUGCUCUUUCCCCAUUCCCUGGAGAAAAUCCACUUUCCAGCCCAGGGUGGGGUAAGGAAGCAGAGAUUAGGUGCUAGCUAAACGCUCCCAGCAUUUUCCCCAAGGAAUCUAGAUGAGAGGCAACUGGAUUAUUUAAUGCCACCAGACAGGCCCUUCCUAGUGUCUGACCCUGUGUCUUGGAUGUACACAUGAACCCAGAAGUCUCAUUCUCUGUUUUUGCUAAGGUUUCCACCUUAAGUACAAAAAUCAAUGUAAAGACAUAUCCUUUCACUACAGUGUUACCAACAGCCUCAAAGAGAUGUCAAGACAGCAUUAGAAAGGAGGUUGGGAUCCCUUUUUUUUUUAGGUUGUUGUUGUUGAUGGUUUGAUUUUCUUUGAAUUGAUCCUAGUUAAAAAAUAUACUAUUUAAAUUGGAAUCCCAUUGUUACUUGGUAAAGGCAAAGCUUCUGUACCUUUGUUAUAAUUAAUUGUAUACCUGUGUAUGUAAAUAUAAGGCAUUCCUAUUUUGCAGUCCAGAACAAAAACAAAACAAAAAAAUAAUAAAAAAACAAAACAAGAAAAAAAAAACAAGGAAAAAAAACUAUUUGUAAUAUAGAAUAAAGUUUAUUAAAAAAAAAUAAAGAAAUAAAAAGUG
rnacentral:lncRNA from 1 species